CCUACGGGGGGCAGCAGUGAGGAAUAUUGGUCAAUGGGCGCGAGCCUGAACCAGCCAAGUCGCGUGAAGGAUGACUGCCCUAUGGGUUGUAAACUUCUUUUAUAGGGGAGUAAAAGGCGGCACGUGUGCCGUUUUGCAUGUACCUUAUGAAUAAGGAUCGGCUAACUCCGUGCCAGCAGCCGCGGUAAUACGGAGGAUCCGAGCGUUAUCCGGAUUUAUUGGGUUUAAAGGGAGCGUAGGUGGGUUGUUAAGUCAGUCGUGAAAGUUUGCGGCUCAACCGUAAAAUUGCCGUUGAUACUGGCAGUCUUGAGUACAGUAGAGGUAUGCGGAAUUCGUGGUGUAGCGGUGAAAUGCUUAGAUAUCACGAAGAACUCCGAUUGCGAAGGCAGCAUACUGGACCGUAACUGACGCUGAUGCACGAAAGUGUGGGUAUCAAACAGGAUUAGAUACCCUAGUAGUC
rnacentral:rRNA from 1 species